rnacentral:hammerhead_ribozyme from 1 species
GUACUGCGGAGGAGUCCAAUACUAGGACGAAACAAUGGUCCAGUAC